UAUGUAGGUAGGGGUUCUUUAGCGUCAUGUCUAUGUAGGUAAGGGUUCUUUAGCGUCAUGUGUCUAGGGGUUCUUUAGCGUCAUGUCUAUGUAGGUAGGGGUUCUUUAGCGUCAUGUGUAUAUGUAGGUAGGAGUUCUUUAGCGUCGUGUCUAUGUAGGUAAGGGUUCUUUAGCGUCAUGUGUCUAGGAGUUCUUUAGCGUCGUGUAUGUAGGUAGGGGUUCUUUAGCGUCAUGUGUAUAUGUAGGUAGGAGUUCUUUGGCAUCAUUCAUGGGUUUUAAUGUGUGUGUGGAGUUGACUGUAUGCCCUAUAUAGCCUUCUGUAUUUACCCUGCAUCGUGCUAAUGUGAUCUUUAAGGUUGCAGUGUUUUCCCCUGUAUGCAUUUAGCUGCGGUGCAACUGCCCAGUACUUAACGAUUACAAGCUUAACCAUAACACGAUGCAGCCACCACUAUGGUUGAAAAUAUGGAGAGUGGUACUCGGUGAUGUUUUGGAUUUGCCCCAAACAUAACACUUUGUAUUCAGGACAAAAUGUUCAUUGCUUUGCCACAUUUAUUGCAGUAUUUAGUGCCCUGUUGCAAACAGGAUGUAUGUUUUGGAAUAUUUUGUAUUCCGUACAGGCUUCCUUUUCACUUUGUCAGUUAGGUUAAUAUUGUGGAGUAACUACAAUGUUGAUGAUUCAUCCUCAGUUUUCUCCCAUCACAGCCAUUAAAUCCCUGAGCAGAUCUCCGGCAUCUGAGUUAGGAACAACGCCUGUAUCUUUAUAGUGACUGGGUGUAUUGAUACACCAUCCAAAGUGUAAUUAAUAACUUCACCAUGAGGUACUCAUUCAAAAAUCAUGUUGAACACUUAUCAUUGCACACACAGUGAGUCCAUGCAACUUAUGUAACUUGUAAAGCAAAUCUUUCCUCCUGAACUUUUUAAAGCUAUAACUAGACUGGAGGAAGAGGGGGAGAAGACUUGUAUUUUUAUUUGAUGUACAUUUUCAGGAUGGUUAAACAAGAUGUACACCUAAACAACUAAAACCAGAUAUGAAGUAGAUAGAAAAGAUACUGAAGCAAUACAUUUUUUAAUUAGAUCUGAGAAUUAACAAAUCACCAAAAUAAAAACUAGACAGUCAGUUGGAAUUUCAGAUUAUCCAUGUAAUUGGUAUGUUCUUUUAAUGUUUUAAUCACUCAGAUAGCGUUAGACAUGGCAAAAUGUGUAGAAUUGCAGGAGAUUAACUUUGAAACUGCAAUUUCUCUCAGCCACUUGAGGAAAUUGGCUAUAAAACUAACAUUUUCUUUCUGUGUCCAAGAGGGCCUCUACAACUGUGCCAUUGGCCACACCCACCACUAUGCCCAUUACCACACUCCACCCCCGCUACCUUUGCCACCGCUGCUGGAAAAAAUCCUAGGGUAAACACUGAGGUUGUAAGGAGUUCGAUGCUACACCUCUUUGUAGAGUUGACUUAAUGUUUAACUCUGUUGGUAAUGAAUAGCUGUUGACACUUCAAUUUGAUAUUUCAAACCACCUCUCAACCACUAAUAGAUGAGACUUGACAAUUUCACUCAUUUUGCAGUCAGUAGAAAAAUAUUCUUAGUCUAGUCGGCAUUAGUCUCUUAGUCUAGACAGCAUUAGUUUGUUAGUCUAGGCAGUAUUAGUUUGUUAGUCUAGGCAGAUCAUUGACAAGAUCCUCCCAUGUAGUUCUGGGCUGAUUCCGUACCGUUCUCAUGAUCAUUGCAACUCCACGAGGUGAGAUCUUGUAUGGAGCCCCAGGCCGAGGGAGAUUGACUGUUCUUUUGUGUUUCUUCCAUUUGUGAAUAAUCGCACCAACUGUUUUCACCUUCUCACCAAGCUGCUUGGCGAUGGUCUUGUAGCCCAUUCCAGCCUUGUGUAGGUCUACAAUCUUGUCCCUGACAUCCUUGGAGAGCUCUUUGGUCUUGGCCAUGGUGGAGAAUUUGGAAUCUGAUUGAUUGCUUCUGUGGACAGGUGUCUUUUAUACAGGUAACAAGCUGAGAUUAGAGCACACUCUUAAAGGGAGUGUGCUCCUAAUCUCAGCUCGUUACCUGUAUAAAAGACACCUGGGAGCCAGAAAUCUUUCUGAUUGAGAGGGGGUCAAAUACUUAUUUCCCUCAUUAAAAUGCAAAUCAAUUUAUAACAUUUUUGACAUGUGUUUUUCUGGAUUUUUUUGUUGUUAUUCUGUGUCUCACUGUUCAAAUAAACCUACCAUUAAAAUUAUAGACGGAUCUUUUUUUUGUUGUUGUGGGCAGAUGUACAAAAUCAUCAGGGGAUUACAUACUUUUCCCCCCUCACUGUAUACACACAUAUAGACACACAUACUGAUAUAGAUAUACAUACUUUUUAAAGAAUAUAUCUUUAUUAUUCCCUGCAAACCCUACCACCCUUCCCCCAACUGGAGUAAACUAAUAAACAAUAACACUUAGGCUUCUACCUUCAGUUUCUACAUAUUUUACACAUUUUACAGACACAAUCUAUUUUACAAUAGUUAUAUUUAGUUUGUUUUUAGUCCUUCCUCUAUUUCUGAUGUCCAUCCAGUUUGAUUUCUAUUUGUAACUGUGCUAUUUCACAUUUCUGAAUCUAUAUACAUUUUACAGACUCCGUAUGUUUUACAUUGGUUAUCUUGUUAUUAGUCCCUUCAGCUCCAUUCAACCCCUCCCAUCUAUCUCUCAACAUCAUCCAUUUUGGAUUUCUAUUGGCCAUAUAUUUUUCAACUGUGCCGUGAUGCUUCACAAACGGAUUGAACCUUUCUAUUCUCAUAGCUUCUACACAUUGUAAAUUGAAAAUAAACAAUUUUUGCUAAAAUAAUAA